rnacentral:tRNA from 1 species
UGGCUCAGUUGGUAGAGCACGGUGUUUGCACCGCCAAGGUUGUGGGUUCGAUUCCCAC